rnacentral:misc_RNA from 1 species
UCCGUGUUCACCACGGCAGUCUCCUUAGAGUGCCCAACUAAAUGCUGGCAACUAAGAACAAGGGUUGCGCUCGUUGCGGGACUUAACCCAACAUGUCACCACACGAGCUGACGACAGCCAUGCAGCACCUGUCUCUCGGUUGUAUUGCUACAAAAACUGUAUCUCUACAGCGGUCCGAGGAUGUCAAACCCAGGUAAGGUUCUUCGCGUUGCUUCGAAUUAAACCACAUGAUCCACCGCUUGUGCGGGCCCCCGUCAAUUCCUUUGAGUUUUAGUCUUGCGACCGUACUUCCCAGGCGGGGUACUUAUCGCGUUAGCUCCGACUCGGCAGGGGUCAAGUCCCACCAAGCCUAGUACCCAUCGUUUACAGCGUGGACUAC